rnacentral:lncRNA from 1 species
UUUAUUUUUAGUUGUUUACUUUCAUAUAGUAAUAUGAUAAUUAUAGCUUCAGUGGCUGUGUGAAAAGUACCCAAACUGAAGGCAUGUGUGUCCUAUGUGCAUGUUAACUCACCAAAAUAUUUUUUAUAUACUUCUAAAAAAUUUGAUUAGUUUAGUUGAGUUGGAUUGUAGGUUGAGUAGAUUUAUCAUAAUUGAUUAAGAAGCCACAACGAGCAAGAGGUAUUGCGGAGGUUGUUAGCUCU